rnacentral:lncRNA from 1 species
CCCUCCUUCCCUUUAUCCAGAAAGGACAAGACUCUCUUCAUGGUGCUAUUCCGUCCUCGUAUGUGGUGGACUUUUGUCUUCCUCUGCGUCCUUGUUAAGCUUGUGGACUAAUGUCAGAGGGAGCCCUCCCCACCCCAAAACCAUGGAACAAUCUGAACGACUCUUUCUCUAUUUCUCUGAAAAAAUCUACCAACCAAAGACACCUAAUCUUUCUAACGAUAUCAGCCUACACUGUAAAGGACACUUUGGGUACUUCAGGUUGAAAGAUUAAAAGUCACAUUAUUUUGGGGGGAAUAUGGCCUACAGUAAGUGCCACGAGAGACAUAUAAACAAAAUGAUUUUGCAACGGAAAGAAAGAAAUAAUCAAUUCCAACUGGGGAAGGAAAUUAUAUUGACAGUAACGAUAAUAGUGGCAGCUAUUUAUUCUUUUCUCUAGUGAUGGCCCAAAUGUACACCAGUGCUUAAUCUUGAGAUAUAAAGGCUCUGUUUCAAAGGGGGAGAGUUAUAGAUGACAGCUGGGUGCCGAUGUCACUGUUAAUUAAAUAACAGACUUUCCGUAAGAUUAGCCCUGAGCUAACAUCUGCUGCCAAUCCUCUUCUUUUUGCUGAGGAAGACUGGCCGUGAGCUCACAUCUGUGCCCAUCUUCCUCUCCUGAAUAUGUGGGACGCCUAACACAGCAUGGCUUGCCAAGUGGUGCCAUGUCUGCACCUGGGAUCCGAACCGGAGAACCCUGGGCUGCCGAGAAGCAAAACGUGUGAACUUAACCACUGCGCUACCAGACCAGCCCCUGUCUAUCGUCUUUCAAAGUGAUCUAUUUUAAAGAGAAACGUCUUCAAAAAAAGUCGUAAAGAACGGAUAUGUUACAACAGUGUGGUUUUUUUGUUGACUUAUGUCACAGCUUUGAUUUGUACAGCUGCUCAGUGUAUUUAUUCUUGCACGGAGAUAAACAUUAUGUUAGUUAUAAUAACCAGAAAAUUAAUAUCACAUGUCCUUUCACAACAGAAUCAACAAAGCAGUUUCUUACCCAACUUUUGGUGCGUGAUAUAAACGGAAAUCUUGAGCUUGUUUCCAGAGGUGGGGAGACCUCUUGUCCUACUGCACGCAGUGUCAGAGUCUGGAUGUUAAGAUGAUGUCUCUUUGAUGGAGAAAAGCAGAGUAUUUUCACUUGCAGCAAAGCUUACCUCCCAGGACUGGAAGAAGAAAAAGAGGCAAUCAUUGCAGGACAGCACCUGAAAGUAUGCAGAGCCAGGGAUCCACAGACGUUACGUUCUAUCCAGGGGAACAGCAGAAUCGCAACAGAAUGAGUGAAACUGUCUAAGCCGAAUCUAUAGAGAUGAGGAAUCCUGCACUAAAGCUUAAAAAAAAUAAUAAAAUUAUAAAGCUUCCGCAAAGACUGUUUUCAGAGCACCAAGG